AAGAAUUUAAAGAGUGCACUUCAUUGUGGCUCGACAUUUUCUACCAUUCACCCUAGUGCACCGUAAUACCUUUUUUUAUUAGACUCUACAAAGUUAAUGAACGUAACACUUUUUUAUAAAGAAAUA
rnacentral:misc_RNA from 1 species